GGGAAGAUGGCUCAGUGGUAGAGCGCUUGCCUUGCAUGCCUGAGGCCCUGGGUUCGAU
rnacentral:tRNA from 1 species